UUAAUUGAAGAGUUUGAUCAUGGCUCAGAUUGAACGCUGGCGGCAGGCCUAACACAUGCAAGUCGAGCGGCAGCGACAGUAACAAUCCUUCGGGUGCGUUAYUGGGCGGCGAGCGGCGGACGGGUGAGUAAUGCCUGGGAAUAUGCCUUAGUGUGGGGGAUAACUAUUGGAAACGAUAGCUAAUACCGCAUAAUGCCUACGGGCCAAAGAGGGGGACCUUCGGGCCUCUCG
rnacentral:rRNA from 1 species